rnacentral:lncRNA from 1 species
GAUUUGGUCCGUGACAAUAACUCUGCAUUGACUUACAAAUUUGUCCUCAUUCUUUUUGGGAGCAAUCGGUUCGCCACCUCGUGUGAUCUCGUCGAUGUUGUACUUUAUGCCCUUGGUCAACUUUUUGGCCGCGCCUCAUACUGCACUACUUGUAGAAGAUUUGCUCUAUCCGGAGGGCUAAAAGAAGAAUGAUUCAUUAAUAUAUAUAUACAAAUCAAUUAAUACAUCUAAUGAUCAUCACAGGCCAAAUAUAUAUACCUCGCCAGACUUUGUUAAUUGGAUAAAAAUUAUUUCGUCAUCAUUGUCUGGUUCCCCUUCGUCUCUUGGUUGUUCUUCCUCAAUUCCCUCACCGAAUGGGUUAAGAUAUUGUGAGCCAUCAUCUGCUUCUUCAUUCUCUUUGUUUCUGGAGCGUAUCACGUCGAACAUGACAUACUCUUGAUCAUGGUCUCUUUCUCUACCGUCCAUAGCUUAACUAAUCCAGAAAAAAUAUAAAACAAUUAGAAUGCAUUCAAUAAGCAAAACCAACGAUCAUCGGGGAC